rnacentral:snRNA from 1 species
GUGCUCAAUUCAGUAGCAUAUAUACUAAAAUUGGAAUAAUACAAUAAGAUUAACAUGGCCCCUAUGCAA